rnacentral:rRNA from 1 species
GACGAACGCUGGCGGCGUGCCUAAUACAUGCAAGUAGAACGCACAGUUUAUACCGUAGCUUGCUACACCAUAAACUGUGAGUUGCGAACGGGUGAGUAACGCGUAGGUAACCUGCCUGGUAGCGGGGGAUAACUAUUGGAAACGAUAGCUAAUACCGCAUAAUAUUGAUUAUUGCAUGAUAAUUGAUUGAAAGAUGCUAUUGCAUCACUACCAUAUGGACCUGCGUUGUAUUAGCUAGUAGGUGAGGUAACGGCUCACCUAGGCGACGAUACAUAGCCGACCUGAGAGGGUGAUCGGCCACACUGGGACUGAGACACGGCCCAGACUCCUACGGGAGGCAGCAGUAGGGAAUCUUCGGCAAUGGACGAAAGUCUGACCGAGCAACGCCGCGUGAGUGAAGAAGGUUUUCGGAUCGUAAAGCUCGGUUGUAAGAGAAGAACGGGUGUGAGAGUGGAAAGUUCACACUGUGACGGUAUCUUACCAGAAAGGGACGGCUAACUACGUG